UACGGAGGGGGCUAGCGUUGUUCGGAAUUACUGGGCGUAAAGCGCGCGUAGGCGGCUUUGUAAGUUAGAGGUGAAAGCCCGGAGCUCAACUCCGGAAUAGCCUUUAAGACUGCAUCGCUAGAACGUUGGAGAGGUAAGUGGAAUUCCGAGUGUAGAGGUGAAAUUCGUAGAUAUCAGGAGGAACACCUGUGGUGUAGACAGCUUACUGGACCAUGACUGACGCUGAGACACGAAAGCGUGGGUAGCAAACAGG
rnacentral:rRNA from 1 species